UACAGAGGUGGCAAGCGUUGUUCGGAAUUACUGGGCGUAAAGGGCGCGUAGGCGGCCUUGUAAGUCCUGUGUGAAAUCCCCCGGCUCAACUGGGGAACUGCACAGGAGACUGCUUGGCUUGAGUUCGGGAGAGGGAAGCGGAAUUCCGGGUGUAGCGGUGAAAUGCGUAGAUAUCCGGAGGAACACCGGUGGCGAAGGCGGCUCCUGGACCGACACUGACGCUGAGGCGCGAAAGCCAGGGAGCAAACGGG
rnacentral:rRNA from 1 species